AGUCGGCGGCGCGCGAGUAGUUUACUUGUGGGCGACAGGGGCAGAGGUGCUGAACACGUGAGCAACAUGCCCCUAUCGGGAGGAUAAUCCAUGCAAACGUGGGCUAAUACCCCCUAAUAAGCUUUUGAGGCAUCUAUUAGACUUUCUAGCUUAUAGUGUGCAUGACGGAUAGUCUCUCGUGACAUUAGCUAUAUGUCACGGUGACGACUAACCAUGGCUGCUAUGACAAGAGGAUCUGACAGAAAGGUCCCCCACACUGGAACUGACACCCACUCCAGACUCCUACGAGAGAGUCUUCGUCAGUAAUAUUGAACCAUGUAUGGAAAUCUCAUCCGGCCAUGUCCACGUGUUCGAAGAGGGCCCUGUUUUUUGAAGACUGCUUUUGUAUGGUAGCUAUAAAAUCUACGUGUACAUUGAUGAGAGUACCAUCCGAAUACGCACCUGCUAACUCCGUGUCAUCCGCCGUGAUAGUACGUAGGGAGCAAGCUAUAUCCUUAUUUAUUGGAUUGAAAGAAUGCGUAGGCUCUUUCAUACGUACUCUUAUACAUAUUUCCGCUUACCUGAGAGGCUGACGUUAAUACUAUCUCGCUUGAAUUAAUUAACUCCGGAUAUAAUGUAAGGAGCACCGGUGACAUGCGUAGAUAUCUCGCCUAUUAUCGAUUGUAAAGCCCGCUCGCAUGGCUAGUAUACCCGCUUAUACACCCAAGUGUGCCAAUCCAACAGCAUUAGAUACUCUGUGAUGCCACUCUCUACACCAUGAUAACUCAAUCUCAGCGAUACAGAAUCGGUGCUGUGGCGAACGCUCUCAGUAAUCCACCUGAAGAGUAUUACCGCGAGCUUGAACCUCCAAGGAAUUGAGUUCUUCCCUUACACGCUGAGGCAAGAACCGUACAAGUCUAUGACAUCCUAGGAAUCUCACUCAAACUCGAGAGGGCUUUAUUUAACUCAGAGAUGGAUGAUGCCUGUCCGACAUCAAUCCAGGUCCUGAAAUGUUGGCUUCAGUUCAUGCCCGAAGGUAUCCUUUAAA
rnacentral:rRNA from 1 species